GACGAACGCUGGCGGCGUGCCUAAUACAUGCAAGUCGAGCGCAGGAAGCCGUCCGAACCCUUCGGGGGGACGACGGUGGAAUGAGCGGCGGACGGGUGAGUAACACGUAAAGAACCUGCCCAUAGGUCUGGGAUAACCACGAGAAAUCGGGGCUAAUACCGGAUGUGUCAUCGGACCGCAUGGUCCGAUGAUGAAAGGCGCUUCGGCGUCGCCCAUGGAUGGCUUUGCGGUGCAUUAGCUAGUUGGUGGGGUAACGGCCCACCAAGGCGACGAUGCAUAGCCGACCUGAGAGGGUGAUCGGCCAAACUGGGACUGAGACACGGCCCAGACUCCUACGGGAGGCAGCAGUAGGGAAUCUUCCACAAUGGACGAAAGUCUGAUGGAGCAACGCCGCGUGAACGAUGAAGGCUUUCGGGUCGUAAAGUUCUGUUGUAAGGGAAGAACAAGUGCCGCAGGCAAUGGCGGCACCUUGACGGUACCUUGCGAGAAAGCCACGGCUAACUACGUGCCAGCCGCCGCCGUAA
rnacentral:rRNA from 1 species